UGAAACUCUCGAUUUUGUACUGUGUCAAGGUGGUGAGUCCUCCGAUAAAGGCAAGGAAAUUGCAUCCGAGGACCAGUAGACAGAGUGCUUCGAAAGUCUGCAUUCUAGACAUUGUGAGUAAACUUACUGUCAUUUUAAUUAUCUAGGGUGGUUUUUAGAUGCUUUCAUGAAUUCUAUGGAAAAAGGAAUUUAAAAAGAUAAAUUUUCAUGUUUUAUGAAUAAAUGAGUUUCAAUGAAAUUAAAUUAUAAAUUGUUUUGAAAUUAAUAGUGAUUUUGAAAAAUAGAGUACACGGAGACUGUUAAUUGUGGCAAAUUUGAUUGUUUAAAUUGACUGGCUUAUGAUAAAUCGAACAUGAUUGGCUAGUUGGCAAUUGUAUUGAAAUGCGAAUUGUUUGGUUGCCUUGAAAAACUCGAAUUACAAAAUUGCCAUAUCAUGUUAUUGAGUUUUAUUAUAUGGUGGAUUAUAUAUUAAUUAAUCACUGUAAUAGGGGGUUUCUGUGGACCAGCCUUUUAGAGGGGCACGGUAAACCCCAUUAUAUUUUUACCUCGAAAGGAGAGGCGCGUAGGGUAUCUCCUAGGGUAAAGUUUAGGGUUCACUUCACGCUAAACCACCACGUGAGGGGGAACUCAGCCAACGUCAGGGAACGACUAUGUUUUCAAAACAAAAACAUGAUUUAUGUGAAAUGUGAAUUUUAAUAGCCUUGGCGGUCUCGGUAGGAUGCCUCGGCCAAGGUGUCCCCGAGAAUGGAUUUAUGGCACAAGCCUAGAUUUUUAUGAGAUUCAUAAGCCUUUUUACGUAUUUUGAACGAGAUGUGUUCUAAUUAUAUAACCCAGUUUAUGAUGAUUUACUUUAUUGUCUCUAUGUACUCAACUCUAGAUGUUUAUGAUGAUGUCUGUUUACUCAUUGAGAUUUUAUAAUCUCACCACCCUCCUUUCCACCCAUUUCAGGUUCAGUAUAGACUGUAGAUAGCUGAUCUCAUCGAGGACUACAAUGGGAUCUGCAUUUUCCAAACCGUAGGUUCACAGUCCUCUUUACUUUUGUUUAUUCGGGGGCUCUCUUGUUAUUGUAAAUUAAAUUAAAUAUUUUGGCUUACUGUAUUUAAGUAUGUAUAAAUUUAUUUAGCUUUUACGCUAUAAAAAUUAUUCACGUAUAACUCUAUAAAUAUUAUUUUAUAAGAAAAUAGAAUAUUUUACUUAAUAUUUCUUUUAUUUUCUUAUUAUAUUCAAAUAACCAUAAUUUCGUUUUAAAUGAAGAUUUUAGACUUUUAAACUCAUUUUGAAUAUGAAUUAUCUGUUUUGUACUUGUAUAUUACGUUUUAGCCAGUUUCGAAAUCUUUAAAAAAAUGACCAAAAUACCCUUGUGAGAUGAAAAAAAUUAAUAUUUUAUUUGUUUAAAGUUGGAAACAGCUUAAAAUAUUUUAGAACACGAUAUUUGACAAUGGUUGCUCACAAGGGAACAGAGA
rnacentral:lncRNA from 1 species